AUGAGGGGAAGUUAGAUUGAAAGAGACCUGAGAAGGUUUUCUGGGGUGAUGGAAGCUUUCUCCAUUUUGAUUGUGAUGUUGUAACAUAGUAUAUACAUUUAUCAAAACUCAUUGAAUUGUAUACAUAUGACCUGUAUAUUUUACUAUAAGUACAUUUUCGUUCAAUACAAAAUUUUUUACAAAAAAAGUAGAUCAGUUUUCACCUAUCCUAAUUACAUAUCUAAAUAGUUCUAUCUAUCUCCUUUUUGUAGUAUAAACUUUAUGGGGGCAGGGACAUGUUUAGUCUUUGUCAUGGAUUGAAUUAUGUACCCCCAAAAAUGUGUGUAUCAAUUUGGCUGGGCCAUGAUUCCCUAUUGUGUGAUUGUCCUCCAUUUUGUGAUUGUAAUUUUAUAUUAAAGAGGAUUAGGGUGGGAUUGUAACACCCUUACUAAGGUCACAUCCCUGAUUCAAUGCAAAGGGAGUUUCCCUGGGGUGUGGCCUGCAUCACCUUUUAUCUUACAAGAGAUAAAAGGAAGGGGAAGCAAGCAGAGGGUUGAGUACCUCAUCUUACCAAGAAAGCAGCGCUGGAAGCAGAGCUCAUCCUUUGGGCCCGGGAUGCUUGUGUGGAGAAGCUCCUAGUAUCAGGGAAGAUGGAUGAGAAGGCCCAUGAGGAGGGAAAGCUUUCCACUGGAGGGGACACCCUGAAUUUGGACUUUUAGCCUACUUUAUUGUGAGGAAAUAAACUUUUCUUUGUUAAAGCCAUCCACCUGUGGAAUUUCUGUUAUAGCAGCACUAGAUGACUAGGACAGUCUUGGUUCCCACUGUAUCUCUACCACUUAGCACAGUGCUUGGCUAAUAGCAAGUAUUCAAAAGCAGUUUUUGAGUAAAUAAAUAAAUGAGAGGCAAUAUGGAAAGGUGAGGAGAGCUUAGUUCUAGAAUCAGAUAGACCAGGUUUUGACCCAGUUUUCUGACAUUGGAGACUUGUGAAACCUUUUGAAACAUGUUUUGUCAUCUGUAAAAGGGAGAUAAUAAUAGUAACUACCUCUAGAGUUAUUGUGAGGAUUGGAUGAGGUAAACUGUUUUCUAGGCACAUGGUAAACCCUCCAUGCCUCACAGUUGUUAUCAUUAUUACCAUCAUUAUUCUCAGGCCACAGCACAGGUCACUCACUUUCCAGCCUUGGAUCAGAUCCAAUGCCUAUGCCAAUCAGCUCAGGCCUGGCAGGAAGGGCUGGGGAGAGAGCUUCUUGUGCAGCCUGUGGGAAGGGUAGGCACAUGAUUGACAGAUCCAUAAGUACACAAAGCCGGGAACACCUCCCAGAGGGCCUCUUUUGCUUUCUUCAUUGCCUUUCUCAGUCUUUCUCCCAGUCUUUAUAUUGCUCUUAAUACUGGCUACAUUAAGCCAGUCCUUUGCUUAGCUCCCUUUCUGUCACUGAAAAGCAUCUUUGUGAGUAUAAGUGAUCCUGUCUCUUUAGUUAACAGGGCAUGCUAAGUAGAGUCAGGUAGUUGAUGUUGGCUAAAGAUAGGUUAACCAGACUGCUAAAGAAACACAACUACAUAUUCAGUGGUUACUAGCACUGAGCUGAUAACCUCAUGUUUUCUCUUCUUCCUGGGUCACAGGAAACAUUGCCUACUCCACCCUUCCCAGCGGUUGCUGUCAGAAAACAUUGAUGUGGAUCAGUAUGUAGGGUAUACACAGAAGGCAGAUGGAAAAGAAAAUGCAAAUAGGGGUUACGAUAUUUUCUUCAGUAGAAAAGCAUUGGAAACUGGAAAAUGAGGGAGGAAGAGGAGAAGCCUUGAUUGCUUUAUGUUCACUCAGUGUGAGGGGGCAAAAGCUAUUGCUUUUUCAAGGAUCAUCUGGAGAAGAUUUCCUGACAAGAAAAUGAGGCUCAGAGAGGCUGGCCAACUAACCUGAAUUUACACAGUAUUUAAGCACAGCACCUCCCUGUUAAUAAUUUCUUUCACCGAGCACAGUGACUAUUGUUGGGGAAUCUCUGUGGAGACUUUUUGGAAGAAAGCACACUUGAGGAGUGGGGAAUUAUGUUCCACCUCUCGGAGGAUGGAGGAUCUACAACAACUCUGGUUGUAGAAUUUGGAAUUCUGCAUGGAGAUUUGUCUCUUCUCCCCUGUUUACCACCCUGGGUGAGCAGCAGUCCUGGAUGCAGUCUGUCAGCCGGAGCCACCGGACAUUGAAGAGUUGAUCUGCUCAGGCUGAAUUUUCUGUAAGGAGAGCAACCAGUAAAUAAAUUAUUGGUUGUGGACUUGGAGAUGGAUGGAUUAACCAAUGACUUCGUGGAGCGUCCCCUUUCAGAAAGACAUUAUCUCCCAUCGGGUUAAUUCCCAGCUCAUGGUGACCCCAAGCACAACAGAAUAAAAUGCUUCCCAGUCCUGUGCCGUUCCCAUUACUGAUUGCAGAUCAAACAGUUGUGACCUAAGGGAUUUUCAUUGGCUGAUUCUUGAAAGUAGAUCUCCAGGCCUUUCUUCCUAGUCAACUUUAGUCUGGAAGCUCUGCUGCAACCUGCUGAGUAUCACAGCAACAUGCAAGCCACCACUGAGACACACGGGAAGUGGCUAUGCAUGAAGUGCACUGGCUGGAAGCAGAGCCUUGGUCUCCCGCAUGAAUGGUGAAAAUCCUACCAUUGAACCUCUAUAGUCUCUGUAGCACCUCUGAAUACUCCUCUUAAAAAUCUCUCAUCUUAUGCUGCAGCAUUUCCAUUGACAAUAGAAUGCAAGUUGGUGUGGACACAUUGGAGACUCAGUUCAGAAGAGACUGACACAAAGAGACCUUUUCAAGACUGUACUUGCUACACAGAAGUUUGCCUUUAUUUAAGUAUGAGAAUUUAAACAUCAUGGGAAGUUGUGAAACUAUUAGUCUCUGUGGGCCAACAAAGGAUUCCAAGCCACGCUUUCAAAAUUGGAAUGCUUUUUCUAUAUCAACAUUAUGAAGAAUGUACGCUAUUGAGAAAUAAGUUUAUCAGCAUCUCUUAAGUUCUCCCAAAUGAUGAAAGGCAUGACCUACUUCCAUUAAAAAUGCAAUUAGAAGACAGAUGCUAUCAUAAAGUGCUAAUAAACUAUUUGAACGGAAUCUUCUUACUACAAGGGUCUUGCGUACUUGCUCUGAUGAAGACAGCUGCUGUGCUGUGACCUGCCCUUUGGAGAAGUCUGUGUGACAAAGAACUGAGGAACUGAGGUCUUCAGCCCAAUGGCCAGUGAGGAAGUAAAUCCUGCCAACAGCCACUUAGUGAACUUGGAAGCAGAUCCAUUUUUAGUUGAGCCUUAAAAUGACUGCAGCCUUUUGAGAGACUCAGAGGCAGAGGACCCAGCUCAGUAUAGGGAGUCCCCCCGAUUACAAAAGAGUUCCAUUCUGAAGCCUGGUUUUACGUCAAAUUUGGAAGUAAGUCAGAACAGUUAGGUACCGUUUGUAUCUAAUGUCAGUCAAGUGUUUGUCUUAAUAUUUAGUAUAUAGUAUACCUUUCUAUGCAUUAAAAAACAUUAAAGAAACACUUCCAGAUACAUUAAAACAUCUUUAAUAUAAUAAUACAGUAAUAAUAAUAAUGAUGUUUUGAUGGGUGUUGCAAAGUAGUGCCCAUUUGUUAUCAUGAACCAUUGCAUGUACUUCAAAUUUUUAAUGUAAUAAGCUUUAUGGGGGUUAGUUCGUAACUAUAGAUUGUACGUAAGUCAGAUAUUGGCAACCUGGGGAGUGCCUGUACCUGAAUUCCUGACCCACAAGAAAAAUAAAUGUACGUGAGAUAAAUAAAUGUAAGAUAAUAAGUGCAUGUUCUUUUAAGUCACUAAAUUUUAGGGUAAUUUGUUACACAGCAGUAGAUAACUACUGCACUGGCCAUUUGGAUAUAUUCUUUUGUGAUGUGUCUAUACAAGUCUUUUGCCCAUUUUUCAGCUGGGUUUUUAUGCUUGCUUAUUUAUUUGUUUGCUUGCUUAUUUAUUUAUUUGUUCUAGUUCUUUGAAUAUUCUGAACAUGAAUCCCUAACAUAUAUACUGCAUAUAUCUCCUCCCAUUCUGCGGCUUGC